rnacentral:lncRNA from 1 species
CUCUGGUAUCAGGCAGGCAGUAAGCAAGGGUAAGAGAAAGGGGUCUUUUGUCAAGCCAGACCCUUCAUCCACCAGCAGGGACUAGAAACUCCUGGAAAUUCUUCUGUUCCAAGCAAGGAAAGAAAUAAAGAAAAGCAGAUGGAAUGAGUGAUUGACAAGGCAGACCGGAAACUAAGGAGGGGAAGGGCUGAGAUCAGAGAUCUAGGAGCAGAGCAAUUAAAACACUAAGAGGUGGAAAGGAACAAAAAACCUUCCUAAGAGGGGAGGGGCUCCCAGGACCCUGGGAAAGAGGUGACAGUGUGGGUGGCCUUGGGAGUUGAGAACAAAGGGCAGGCGGGGGUGGAGCCCUGGGAAGGAGAGCUGCAGUUGGGAUUACAGCAGAUGGUUUGAGCAGGAAGUUACUGUUCAGAACAUUCUUCUGGACUUGUGGUUGCAUGAGAUUGAUCAGCUUGGCUUUGUCUGCACCCAGAGAGAAGUUGUGCCUUCCAGGAGAGGCACGCAGUAGCCAAAGCCACAGGAAUGAAGGAUGAGUGCAAGGCCAAGGUCCACGUAGCCAGAGGUGGCACUGCCCCCAGUGGGCUGGACCCUCCCAACCCAAUCAUUUACCAAGAACAUGCCCUCCAGACUUGCUCACAGAUACACAUUUGAAAUCCCCCGUAAUCAGCAGAAGAGACAUGGAACCUCCCAAUUUCUCCAUGAGUACAGCUGAACUGACCUGCUACCACAGGAAGCGCCUUUCUGGCUGUCUGCUUCAUAAACUCCAUGAGCCUGUUCUUCCCCCAACGUCUCCAAAUGGAUGCUUCCCGGUCCCUGUCUUGCCACGUGUUCCUCAUCCACAUUGAACUUAUUUCUACAGAGUAGCAUUAUUCUCCUGCUUAAAAUAGGGAUGUCUGAAACAUUGUCCCCUGGAGAAGGGGAAAGGGUCAUGAUCCCCUGAGCAAAUUGAGACCAUGGGAAGAGGGGGGAGGGAGCUAUGAGAAUGAGAAGGGAAGAAGAGGAAGGAUGCAGAGGUUAUGAGGGAGCAGAAAGGUUGAGUCAUGGGAAGAAUAGAAGAAAGGAUAUGUGAUAGGUAGGGUUUUAGUUGGGGGGGGUUGGUAGGGGAGGACGGGAGGGAGAAGGGAACUGGGAUUGUCGUGUAAAACAUUCCUGUUUCUAAUUCAAAUAAAAAAUGAUAAAAGAAAUAGGGAUGUCUGAGUCCCUCAUCACCAGGAAAACACAAAAGAAUAAUUCAAAAAUAUUUAUUAGCUGUUAGUAUUUGGAAUGAAGCUUUGAGGCCAUUAUUCCUUUAUCACACUCAAUCUUAAGAUGGACAGUGAGGGCCUGUGGAGAUGUGCAUCUAGU